rnacentral:tRNA from 1 species
ACACGUCGUCGUACGGGUUCUCCGAGAACAGCCGUGCUCCGACCGCGAGGAGCUGCUCCCUGCGCUCCCCGGUGCUGAGCCGGCGACGCGUGC